AAUCAUCAAAACCUUUUCCUUUGGGAAAAGGAUUUUGGACUUGGAGGUUCCAUGCUCGCUUUCUUUUGAAAGCGAGCUCCUCUCAAAUGAAUCAGUGGGGUCCGCUUUGCCGAUCCUUGACGUGAUAAGAUGCUUCUACGUUUUGGAUUUGGCACUGUCCCUUGGACGCCUGCUCCUAACCGUCCCCAUGGACAAUGAUGGUGCUCCGGUCGACCGCGGCUGGACCCACGAAAAGAAAA
rnacentral:misc_RNA from 1 species